CAAGCCCUGGAAACGGGGUCUAAUACCGGAUAUGACGCAUGGCCGCAUGGUCUGUGCGUGGAAAGCUCCGGCGGUGCAGGAUGAGCCCGCGGCCUAUCAGCUAGUUGGUGGGGUGAAGGCCUACCAAGGCGACGACGGGUAGCCGGCCUGAGAGGGCGACCGGCCGCACUGGGACUGAGACACGGCCCAGACUCCUACGGGAGGCAGCAGUGGGGAAUAUUGCACAAUGGGCGAAAGCCUGAUGCAGCGACGCCGCGUGAGGGAUGAAUGCCUUCGGGUUGUAAACCUCUUUCAGCAGGGAAGAAGCGCAAGUGACGUUACCUGCAGAAGAAGCACCGGCUAACUACGUGCCAGCAGCCGCGGUAAUACGUAGGGUGCAAGCGUUGUCCGGAAUUAUCGGGCGUAAAGAGCUCGUAGGCGGCGUGUCACGUCGGAUGUGAAAGCCCGGGGCUUAACCCCGGGUCUGCAUUCGAUACGGGCAGGCUAGAGUUCGGUAGGGGAGAUCGGAAUUCCUGGU
rnacentral:rRNA from 1 species